CUGGAACAUGUCAACAUAGUAAUCAACAUAUAUUUUCUCUCAACUUUAACCCAAAAUGCAUCUAAUUUCUUUUAACACAAAUCUACCCCAAAGAUCCACACUUGUGUCACGCCGAUCACGUCCAGCGGCACUCUUCCUGGUCCUAUCAGAGAUCACAUCUUUUGGACUGGCUGGAGGAAUGACCACCAAGGAGACUGUGUGGAGAACACUAACACAACUCCUGACAAAUGCCAUGAACUGGAGAGGGGCCAAUGGGAAGGAGGCAUUCGAACCACUUGCCCUGGUGGCACUGUUUUUGUCACAAGGUGCCAACAUCAAUGCUCAGAUAGAGGAGACAGUAAUCAGUGAUGGUCUAACAUGUGUUGAGUCAUACUGCUUUUUUUAAUAACUUUGCAUGGGUGAGUUGGAUUAAUGGAUGGUCCAUUGUGUGUCUACAACGGUCUCCACUCUGACAGGAAAAGACAUGCACUGCUGUGAAGGAUCCUGCCUGACUCAAAUGCUUCAAAUGGCACAGUUACUGGCACAGGCUGUCUGUUUGACAGGCAUUUAUCAAAAGGAAACCACCAGAACACUAUCCCUAAAAACAGUGAAUAAAGUGAUUGUUUGAUUGAACCCGUUUUAUCAUA
ensembl:lncRNA